rnacentral:rRNA from 1 species
UACAGAGGGGGCAAGCGUUGUUCGGAAUUACUGGGCGUAAAGGGCGCGUAGGCGGCCUUCUAAGUCGAACGUGAAAUCCCCGGGCUCAACCCGGGAACUGCGUCCGAGACUGAAAGGCUCGAAUCCGGGAGAGGGAUGUGGAAUUCCAGGUGUAGCGGUGAAAUGCGUAGAUAUCUGGAGGAAUACCGAUGGCGAAGGCAGCCCCCUGGGUUAACACUGACGCUCAUGUACGAAAGCGUGGGGAGCAAACAGG